GAUGAAUAACGUAGCGAAAUGCGAUAAGUAAUGUGAAUUGCAGAAUUCAGUGAAUCAUCGAAUCUUUGAACGCACAUUGCGCCCCCUGGUAUUCCGGGGGGCAUGCCUGUUCGAGCGUCAUUUCAACCCUCAAGCUCUGCUUGGUAUUGAGUCCAUGUCAGCAAUGGCAGGCUCCAAAAUCAGUGGCGGCGCCGCUGGGUCCUGAACGUAGUAAUAUCUCUCGUUACAGGUGCUCGGCGUGCUUCUGCCAAAACCCCAAUUUUUCUAUGGUUGACCUCGGAUCAGGUAGGGAUACCCGCUGAACUUAAGCAUAUCAAUAAGCGGAGGA
rnacentral:misc_RNA from 1 species